rnacentral:rRNA from 1 species
GGGAACAUACCCUUUUCUACGGAAUAGCUCUGGGAAACUGGAAUUAAUACCGUAUACGCCCUACGGGGGAAAGAUUUAUCGGGGAAGGAUUGGCCCGCGUUGGAUUAGCUAGUUGGUGGGGUAAAGGCCUACCAAGGCGACGAUCCAUAGCUGGUCUGAGAGGAUGAUCAGCCACAUUGGGACUGAGACACGGCCCAAACUCCUACGGGAGGCAGCAGUGGGGAAUAUUGGACGAUGGGCGCAAGCCUGAUCCAGCCAUGCCGCGUGAGUGAUGAAGGCCUUAGGGUUGUAAAGCUCUUUCACCGAUGAAGAUAAUGACGGUAGUCGGAGAAGAAGCCCCGGCUAAUUUCGUGCCAGCAGCCGCGGUAAUACGAAGGGGGCUAGCGUUGUUCGGAAUUACUGGGCGUAAAGCGCACGUAGGCGGAUAUUUAAGUCAGGGGUGAAAUCCCAGAGCUCAACUCUGGAACUGCCUUUGAUACUGGGUAUCUUGAGUAUGGAAGAGGUAAGUGGAAUUGCGAGU